GCGGAUAUGGUUGAAUGGUAAAAUAUCUCUUUGCCAAGGAAAAGAUGCGGGUUCGAUUCCCGCUAUCCGCC
rnacentral:tRNA from 1 species